rnacentral:lncRNA from 1 species
UUUCUUACCAUCAACACAAGAUUUAUGGGAUGCAGUCACAAAGACAUAUUCUGAUCUUGGAAAUACUGCAGAGUUCUACGAACUUAAGUGUUGUAUUCAUCAACCAAUCAAGGAAGUGAUACAGUGACUACAUAUUACAAAAUCAUGAAGAGCUUAUAGCAAGAAUUGGACUUGUACCAUGAUGGAGAAUGGAAGUGUAGAGAUGACAGUAAAAAAAUUUAAGAGGUU